rnacentral:rRNA from 1 species
CCAAUAGCGUACAUUAAAGUUGUUGCAGUUAAAAAGCUCGUAGUUGAAUUUCGGGGUCAGCAGGUUGGUCGUGCCACUGGUAUGCACUGGCCUCGCUGAUUCCUCCCUCUUGUAGAACCGUAAUGCCAUUAAGUUGGUGUUGCGGGGAAACAGGACUGUUACUUUGAAAAAAUUAGAGUGUUUAAAGCAGGCUAACGCUUGAAUACAUUAGCAUGGAAUAAUGAAAUAGGACGAUCGAUCCUAUUUUGUUGGUUUCUAGGGUUGACGUAAUGAUUAAUAGGGAUAGUUGGGGGCAUUAGUAUUCAAUUGUCAGAGGUGAAAUUCUUGGAUUUAUUGAAGACUAACUACUGCGAAAGCAUUUGCCAAGGAUGUUUUCAUUAAUCAAGAACGAAAGUUAGGGGAUCGAAGACGAUCAGAUACCGUUGUAGUCUUAACCAUAAACUAUGCCGACUAGGGAUCGGAUGAUGUUAAUUUUUUAAUGACUCAUUCGGCGCCUUAC